rnacentral:lncRNA from 1 species
AAAGAUGCCAGAUGAUUUAUAUUGUUUUAUUAAUUGUUUGGAGAAGAUUGUAUCUUGUAUGCAAACCAUGUCUUGUAUGCUGUAAAGAACUAUAAAAUCGUGUAAUUUGAUGCCAGAUUAAUGAAUAUUGCAUUUUCUAUUUCAAUUCUUCUUCUUAUUCUUUUGGCUUCUAAAAUACUUUUUAAAAUAUGUAAUUUUACACUGCUUAACGACUCAUUAUACUAUUUUCUUCAAAUCCUGCCUUAUAUAUUGUAAAGAACUAUAAAAUCGU